rnacentral:rRNA from 1 species
AGAGUUUGAUCAUGGCUCAGGAUGAACGCUAGCUACAGGCUUAACACAUGCAAGUCGAGGGGCAGCAUGUUGGUUGCUUGCAACCAACGAUGGCGACCGGCGCACGGGUGAGUAACGCGUAUCCAACCUACCCUUGUCCAUCGGAUAACCCGUCGAAAGGCGGCCUAACACGAUAUGCGGUUCACGGCAGGCAUCUAAGGUGAACGAAAUGUGAAGGAGAAGGAUGGGGAUGCGUCUGAUUAGCUUGUGGCGGGUAACGCCACAAGGCUACGAUCAGUAGGGUUCUGAGAGGAGGUCCCCCANAUUGGAACUGAGACACGGUCCAAACUCCUACGGAGGCA